GACGAACGCUGGCGGCGUGCUUAACACAUGCAAGUCGAACGGAAAGGCCCUGCUUUUGUGGGGUGCUCGAGUGGCGAACGGGUGAGUAACACGUGAGUAACCUGCCCUUGACUUUGGGGUAACUUCAGGAAACUGGGGCUAAUACCGGAUAGGAGCUCCUGCUGCAUGGUGGGGGUUGGAAAGUUUCGGCGGUUGGGGAUGGACUCGCGGCUUAUCGGCUUGUUGGUGGGGUAGUGGCUUACCAAGGCUUUGACGGGUAGCCGGCCUGAGAGGGUGACCGGCCACAUUGGGACUGAGAUACGGCCCAGACUGCUACGGGAGGCAGCAGUGGGGAAUAUUGCACAAUGGGCGGAAGCCUGAUGCAGCAACGCCGCGUGCGGGAUGACGGCCUUCGGGUUGUAAACCGCUUUCGCCUGUGACGAAGCGUGAGUGACGGUAAUGGGUAAAGAAGCCCCGGCUAACUACGUG
rnacentral:rRNA from 1 species